AACGAGGCCGACCUGCGGCUGAGUUACCUGCGGAAGGAUCAUUAACGCGCCGUGGAGGUCACCUUUAAACAGGUAUGACCUUCCACCUGGCCACCCUUGUUUAUCUUUAACCUGUUGCUUUGGUGAGCCCGCCGUUAAGGCCGCUGGAGAAUUUGAUAGUUUUCUGGCCCGUGCUCACCAAAGUCAUAAUGAACUCUUUGUCUUUUUGCAGUCUGAGCGUUUAAAAAGCAAAUAUUUUAA
rnacentral:misc_RNA from 1 species